rnacentral:rRNA from 1 species
AUAGUACUGUGAAGGAAAGGUGAAAAGCACCCCGGGAGGGGAGUGAAAAAGAACCUGAAACCCUGUGCUUACAAGCACUUAGAGCACGUCAAAGUGUGAUAAGGUACCUAUUGUAGAAUGGUCCGGCGAGUUAUUGUAUGCAGCGAGGUUAAGUAGUUCAGCUACGGAGCCGAAGUGAGAGCGAGUGUUAACAGCACGUUCAGUUGCAUGCAAUAGACCCGAAACCGGGUGACCUAUCCAUGUCCAGGAUGAAGUGAGGGUAAAACCUCAUGGAGGUCCGAACCCACUCCCGUUGAAAUGGUAGGGGAUGAGGUGUGGAUAGCGGAGAAAUUCCAAUCGAACCCGGAUAUAGCUGGUUCUCCCCGAAAUAGUUUUAGGACUAGCCUCGUGAUUAAGAUUAUCGGAGGUAAAGCACUGAAUGGCCUAGGGGUCGAGAGAUUACCGAAGCCUAUCAAACUCUGAAUGCCGAAUAAUCAUGCACGGGAGUCAGACUGUGUGAGAUAAGUUUCAUAGUCGAAAGGGAAACAGCCCAGACCUACAGCUAAGGUCCCAAAGUACGUUUAAGUGGAAAACGAUGUGAAAUUGCGUAGACAACCAGGAUGUUGGCUUAGAAGCAGCCAUACAUUAAAAGAGUGCGUAAUAGCUCACUGGUCGAGUGACUUUGCGCGGAAAAUUUAACGGGGCUAAAACGUACACCGAAGCUUAGGCUUGUCACAAUGUGACAGGGGUAGGGGAGCGUUGAAUGAGGGGUGAAGUCGUAGCGAAAGCGACGGUGGACUUCAUUCAAGUGAGAAUGCCGGAAUGAGUAGCGAGAAUUAUGUGAGAAUCAUAAUGGCCGAAAGCCUAAGGUUUUUGGAGGAAGGUUCGUCCGCUCCAAGUAAGUCGGAAGCUAAGGUGAGGCUGAAAAGCGUAGCCGAUGCACAAACGGUUGAAAUUCCGUUACCACAGAAAGAUUUAAACUAAGGGACACUUUUGAAGAGCUGAUGCCGGGUGUUGGUUACCCCGGUCGUAAGGGAACGAAAUUAAGUAGUGAAGUCAGCGUGGAUGAAGGCGAGAAAAGCUUAGUGUAUAUCUUAUGUGUCCGUACCGCAAACCGACACAGGUAGGUAGGAAGAGAAUUCUAAGGCCAACGGGAGAAGGGUAGUUAAGGAACUCGGCAAAAUGUCCCCGUAACUUCGGAAUAAGGGGAGGUUUCUACGGAAACCCGCAGAGAAUAGUCCCAGGCAACUGUUUAUCAAAAACACAGCUCUAUGCUAAAUCGAAAGAUGACGUAUAUGGGGUGACGCCUGCCCGGUGCCGGAAGGUUAAGAGGAGGAGUGAGAGCCCUGAAUCGAAGCCCCGGUAAACGGCGGCCGUAACUAUAACGGUCCUAAGGUAGCGAAAUUCCUUGUCAGGUAAGUUCUGACCCGCACGAAUGGCGUAAUGAUCUGGGAGCUGUCUCAACUGCCCGCCCGGCGAAAUUGUAGUACCGGUGAAGAUGCCGGUUACCCGCGACUAGACGGAAAGACCCCAUGGAGCUUUACUGUAGCUUAAUAUUGGAUUUCGGCAUUUCAUGUACAGGAUAGGUGGGAGACUAGGAAACAUAGGCGUCAGCUUAUGCGGAGUCGUCCUUGGGAUACCACUCUUGGAGUGCUGAAAUUCUAACCUGCAGCCCUGAAUCGGGUUGGGGGACAUUGUUAGGUGGGCAGUUUGACUGGGGCGGUCGCCUCCAAAAAGGUAACGGAGGCGCUCAAAGGUUGGCUCAGCAUGGAUGGAAACCAUGCCAUAGAGUGCAAACGCAAAAGCCAGCCUGACUGCGAGACUGACGGGUCGAGCAGAAACGAAAGUUGGAGUUAGUGAUCCGGCGGUAUGUGAAUGGAAAUGCCGUCGCUCAACGGAUAAAAGCUACCCUGGGGAUAACAGGCUGAUCUCCCCCAAGAGU